rnacentral:rRNA from 1 species
CCUGGUUGAUCCUGCCAGUAAUAUAUGCUUGUCUCAAAGAUUAAGCCAUGCAAGUCUAAGUGCACACCGCCCGGUACUGUGAAACUGCGAAUGGCUCAUUAAAUCAGUUAUGGUUCCUUUGAUCGCUCCACCCGGUUAUUUGGAUAACUGUGGAAAUUCCAGAGCUAAUACAUGCCAACGAGCGCCGACCUGGUCCGCCCUUCUCCCCUCGGGGCGGGGGGUGGGUACCCGGGGACGCGUGCAUUUAUCAGAUCCAAAACCCAUGCGGGUGCGCGGGCGGUGGAGAGGGGGGCCUCGCGCCUACCCGCCGCCGUCCGCCCCCGGCCUCGCUUUGGUGACUCUAGAUAACCUCGGGCCGAUCGCGCGCCCUCGCGGCGGCGACGGUUCAUUCGAAUGUCUGCCCUAUCAACUUUCGAUGGUAGGUCCGUCGCCUACCAUGGUGACCACGGGUGACGGGGAAUCAGGGUUCGAUUCCGAAGAGGGAGCCUGAGGAACCGGCUACCACAUCCAAGGAAGGCAGCAGGCGCGCAAAUUACCCAUUUCCGACACGGAGAGGUAGUGACAAAAAAAACAAUGCAGGUCUCUUUCGAGGCCCUGCAAUUGGAAUGAGUGCAUCCCAAACCCAUGGGCCAAGGACCCAUUGGAGGGCAAGUCUGGUGCCAGCAGCCGCGGUAAUUCCAGCUCCAAUAGCGUAUGCUAACGUUGCUGCAGUUAAAAAGCUCGUAGUUGGAUCUCGGGGACCGGGCCGCGCGGUCCGCCGCGAGGCGAGCCACCGCCGGUCCCGGACCCCCAGGCCUCCCGGCGCCCCCCGGAUGCCCUUGACUGGGUGUCCUCGGCUUGGGGCCGGAGCGUUUACUUUGGAAAAAAUUAGAGUGUUCAAGGCAGGGCCGGCACCGCGCCCCAUUGAAUACCCCGCUAGGAAUAAUGGAAUAGGACCGGGGUCCUAUUUUCUGUGGGUUUCCGGAACCCGGGCCCAUGAUCGAGAGGGACGGCCGGGGGCAUUCGUAUUGCGCCGCUAGAGGUGAAAUUCUUGGACCGGCGCAAGACGGACCGGAGCGAAAGCGUUUGCCAAGAACGUUUUCAUUAAUCAAGAACGAAAGUCGGAGGUUCGAAGACGAUCAGAUACCGUCGUAGUUCCGACCGUAAACGAUGCCGACCCGCGAUCCGGCGGCGUUUAUUCCCAUGACCCGCCGGGCAGCGUUGCGGGACAACCCACGAGUCUCUGGGCUCCGGGGGGAGUAUGGUUGCAAAGCUGAAACUUAAAGAAAUUGACGGAAGGGCACCACCACAGGAGUGGAGCCUGCGGCUUAAUUUGACCCAACACGGGGAACCUCACCCGGCCCGGACACGGAAAGGAUUGACAGAUUGACAGCUCUUUCUCGAUUC